rnacentral:rRNA from 1 species
CGGGGUGGAGUAAUGUCUGGGAAACUGCCUGAUGGAGGGGGAUAACUACUGGAAACGGUAGCUAAUACCGCAUAACGUCUUCGGACCAAAUGGGGGGACCUUCGGGCCUCACGCCAUCGGAUGUGCCCAGAUGGGAUUAGCUAGUAGGUGGGGUAAUGGCUCACCUAGGCGACGAUCCCUAGCUGGUCUGAGAGGAUGACCAGCCACACUGGAACUGAGACACGGUCCAG